CUACGGGAGGCAGCAGUGAGGGAUAUUGCGCAAUGGGGGAAACCCUGACGCAGCAACGCCGCGUGGGCGAAGAAGGUCUUCGGAUCGUAAAGCCCUUUUCUCUCGGACGAGGAAGGACGGUACGGGAGGAAUAAGUGUCGGCUAACUACGUGCCAGCAGCCGCGGUAAAACGUAGGACGCGAGCGUUAUCCGGAAUUAUUGGGCGUAAAGGGCGUUUAGGCGGCGUCUUAAGUUGGGCGUGAAAUCUUCCGGCUCAACCGGAAGGGGCCGUCCAAUACUGGGACGCUUGAGGGCAGCAGGGGGAGGUGGAAUUCCCGGUGUAGCGGUGGAAUGCGUAGAUAUCGGGAGGAACACCAGUGGCGAAGGCGGCCUCCUGGGCUGUACCUGACGCUGAAGCGCGAAAGCGUGGGGAGCGAACGGGAUUAGAUACCCCGGUAGUCCACGCCGUAAACGAUGGAUACUAGGUGUUGGUGGUAUUGACCCCAUCAGUGCCGCAGUAACGCGUUAAGUAUCCCGCCUGGGGACUACGGCCGCAAGGCUAAAACUCAAAGGA
rnacentral:rRNA from 1 species